rnacentral:rRNA from 1 species
AUUGAACGCUGGCGGCAGGCCUAACACAUGCAAGUCGAGCGGAUGACGGGAGCUUGCUCCUUGAUUCAGCGGCGGACGGGUGAGUAAUGCCUAGGAAUCUGCCUGGUAGUGGGGGGCAACGUUUCGAAAGGAGCGCUAAUACCGCAUACGUCCUACGGGAGAAAGCAGGGGACCUCCGGGCCUUGCGCUAUCAGAUGAGCCUAGGUCGGAUUAGCUAGUGGGUGGGGUAAUGGCUCACCAAGGCGACGAUCCGUAACUGGUCUGAGAGGAUGAUCAGUCACACUGGAACUGAGACACGGUCCAGACUCCUACGGGAGGCAGCAGUGGGGAAUAUUGGACAAUGGGCGAAAGCCUGAUCCAGCCAUGCCGCGUGUGUGAAGAAGGUCUUCGGAUUGUAAAGCACUUUAAGUUGGGAGGAAGGGCAGUAAGUUAAUACUUUGCUGUUUCGACGUUACCGACAGAAUAAGCACCGGCUAACUCUGUGCCAGCAGCCGCAGUAAUAC